GUAGGUGGCAAGCGUUGUCCGGAAUUAUUGGGCGUAAAGCGCGCGCAGGCGGUUCUUUAAGUCUGAUGUGAAAGCCCACGGCUCAACCGUGGAGGGUCAUUGGAAACUGGAGAACUUGAGUACAGAAGAGGAAAGCGGAAUUCCACGUGUAGCGGUGAAAUGUGUAGAGAUGUGGAGGAACACCAGUGGCGAAGGCGGCUUUCUGUCUGUAACUGACGCUGAGGCGCGAAAGCGUGGGGAGCAAACAGGGAUUAGAUACCCUGGUAGUCCACGCCGUAAACGAUGAGUGCUAAGUGUUAGGGGGUUUCCGCCCCCUUAGUGCUGCAGCUAACGCAUUAAGCACUCCGCCUGGGGAGUACGGCCGCAAGGCUG
rnacentral:rRNA from 1 species